UGGGGUGACCUUCCUUUCCGGCUCGACGACCCCGACGACAUGGUCGUGUACGGCGCCCUCCGCGAUGCCUACUCCCAUGGUUGGAACCCCUCUCCCGAAGCCGGUAACGUCACCGCCCCUGCUGCCGUGGUCGUCAAAUCGGAGCCCGUGACCGAGCUGCCGGUGGCGACGCCUGCGAUCCAGGCGCAUCCGGCGGCUGCGGCGGCGGCGGCGGCGCCGACGAAGGGGAAGCACUACAGAGGGGUGAGGCAGCGGCCGUGGGGGAAGUUCGCGGCGGAGAUCAGGGAUCCGGCGAAGAACGGGGCGAGGGUAUGGCUGGGGACGUUCGAGACGGCGGAGGAGGCCGCCAUCGCCUACGACAAGGCGGCCUACCGGAUGCGCGGCUCCCGCGCGCUGCUCAACUUCCCGCUCCGGAUCGGGUCGUCGGAGGCCGCAGCGGCGCCGGCGCCGGCGAUGGCGUCACCCUCGAAGAAGCGGGCCUCGCCGGAGCCCUCUUCCACCUCUUCCUCUCCCCGCUCCCCAUCCUCCUCCUCGUCGUCGUCGGAGAAGGCGUCGCCUAAGAGGAGGAAGAGAGGGGAGGCCGCGGCAGCGGCGAUGGCGAUGCCACCGGUGGCGGCGACCUCCAUGCCUCCUCCUCCGGUUGUGGUUUCCGUUCCGGUCCAGGCGCAAGCCGGUCUGGGUUUCGCGAGCCGGCAGGAGGGUUUCCCGGUUGGUCCGGUCGUGCAACUGGCACCUGUCGGUCAGCUGUUGGU
rnacentral:lncRNA from 1 species